UACGUAGGGACCAAGCGUUGUUCGGAUUUACUGGGCGUAAAGGGCGCGUAGGCGGCGCGGUAAGUCACUUGUGAAAUCUCUGAGCUUAACUCAGAACGGCCAAGUGAUACUGCAGUCUAGAGUCCGGAAGGGGCAAUCGGAAUUCCAGGUGUAGCGGUGAAAUGCGUAGAUAUCAAGAGGAACACCUGAGGCGAAGACGGGUUGCUGGGCCAACACUGACGCUGAGGCGCGAAAGCCAGGGGAGCAAAC
rnacentral:rRNA from 1 species